CUUAGCUCAGCUGGAUAGAGCGGGGGACUUCUAAUCCCAAGGUCGGGGGUUCGAAUCCCUCAGG
rnacentral:tRNA from 2 species